GGAGGGGGGGCCAGCGUUGUUCGGAAUUAUUGGGCGUAAAGGGCGUGUAGGCGGCUAGGGCAAGUCGGAGGUGAAAGCCCUCGGGCUCAACCGAGGAAUUGCCUCCGAUACUGCUUGGCUUGAGUCCCCGGAGAGGGUAGUGGAAUUCCCAGUGUAGCGGUGAAAUGCGUAGAUAUUGGGAGGAACACCAGUGGCGAAGGCGGCUACCUGGACGGGUACUGACGCUGAGGCGCGAAAGCGUGGGGAGCAAACAGGAUUAGAUACCCUGGUAGUCCACGCUGUAAACGAUGGGCACUUGGUGUUGCGGGUAUCGACCCCUGCAGUGCCAAAGCUAACGCAUUAAGUGCCCCGCCUGGGGAGUACGGUCGCAAAGGCUG
rnacentral:rRNA from 1 species